rnacentral:rRNA from 1 species
CCUACGGGUGCCUGCAGUGAGGAAUAUUGGGCAAUGGGGGCAACCCUGACCCAGCCAUGCCGCGUGAGUGAAGAAGGUCUUCGGAUUGUAAAGCUCUUUCGGACGUGACGAUGAUGACGGUAGCGUCUAAAGAAGCACCGGCAAACUCCGUGCCAGCAGCCGCGGUAAUCCGAAGGGUGCGAGCGUUGUCCGGAUUUACUGGGCGUAAAGGGAGUGUAGGCGGAAGUGUAGGAUAGCGGUGAAAUGCCGGGGCUCAACCCCGGAACUGCCAUAAUGACUAUGUUUCUGGAGUAAUGGAGAGGAUAGCGGAAUACCCAGUGUAGAGGUGAAAUUCGUAGAUAUUGGGUAGAACACCGGUGGCGAAGGCGGCUAUCUGGCCAUUUACUGACGCUGAGGCUCGAAAGCAUGGGGAUCAAACAGGAUUAGAUACCCGAGUAGUC